rnacentral:SRP_RNA from 1 species
GCCGGGCGCGGUGGCACAUGCCUGUAGUCCCAGCUACUUGGGAGGCUGAGGUGGGAGGAUCGCUUGAGCCCAGGAGUUCUGGGCUGUAGUGCGCUGUGCUGAUCGGGUGUCUGCACUAAGUUCGGCAUCAAUAUGGUGACCUCCUGGGAGUGGGGGACCACCAGGUUGUCUAAGGAGGGGUGAACCAGCCCAGGUCAGAAAUGGAGCAGGUCCAAACUCCCCUGCUGAUCAGUAGUGGAAUCGCACCUGUCAAUAGCCCCUGCACUCCAGCCUGGGCAACAUAGCGAGACCCCGUUUCUU